CCUCCAUGCUUCUGCAUCAGCUCCUGCCUCCAGGAUCCUGCCCUGUUUGAGUUCCUGUCCUGACUUCUUUCAUCAAUGAUGAACUAUGGUGUGAAAGUCUAUUACGCUCUCUGCCCUCUCUUCUGCAACAGUCCCUGGGCAUGGAGGGCUGACGGAGAUGUCCUGGUGUGGCCUGAGCAUACAACAGUCACUUACUCUCAGCUCUUGACCAGAAGGAACUUUGCAUCAGCAGUCACCACUGCAGAAGGGACUCCUCUGAAGAAGGCGGCCAGCAAGCAGCGCCAGUCAGAGCGUAUCAGAAGCCAGGCGACCUGCUGCAGUGUGUGCUCGCUGGUACAUCAGGGGCGCAGCUGUUUUGUGGGUAACCAAACCCUUUAGGUUGGACUUGAGGCCCUACUUCCUCUGGUAGUGUAAGCCUGUCCAGAAGAUAUUUCACCUUUUACCUUUCCAGGAUGCUUCACCGAAUGUAUCAUAGUGAAUGUUUUUAUAAUAUUUCAAAAUACAUUUAAUAAAAUGAGGUCUUUUAAUAAAAGCUCAAGUAUGAAAAAAUUGAAGGCAAAGAUUAAAUCAUGAUUUGCCACUCCAAUAAAGCUACAAUUGUUAUUUUGAUGUGUA